rnacentral:lncRNA from 1 species
CUGAUGACCACUAGUUGUGAUGUUGGUGGAUAACCAGGAGGUGUUUGCAGUCAGUCAGGUAAACUUGCCAGCGAUUUCAGUUGAAGGAAAAGUUGAACAAGAAGAUUUGCAAAAUGCUAUCGAAGAACUGGACGACAAUCAGUGAGUUUAUUAUUGUGGGCAUCCCUGGACUGCAUCCAGACUACUAUGGCCUGGUUUCUGCCAUUUUCUUUGUCAUCUACAUAACCACAGUGGCUGGAAACAUGUUUUUUCUAGUGCUGUUUGUCACUACGGAGAGCCUCAGGAAGCCUAUGUACAUCAUCUUAGCAAGUCUGGCAUUAUCUGAUAUGUGUUUCUCCACUGUUGCCCUGCCUAAGAUCAUAUCCAAAUACUGGUUUAAUGCAGGAGCGACCCCUUUCCAUGCUUGUUUCUUCCAAAUGGAGCUAAUCCACUAUUUUGGGUCUUUAAAUUCACUGAUAAUGAUGAUUAUGGCACUUGAUCGAUAUGUGGCGAUUUGUUAUUCUCUCAGAUACCAGACUGUUAUGACAAACCGUGUAACAUACAUCCUAAUUACCACUGCUUGGAUAACAGCUUUUAUCGCACCAACAGUAGCCACGCUAGACACACAACAGCUUCCAUACUGCGGCCCUAACCUCAUCCUUCAAUGCUACUGUGAUCACAUCUCCAUUACUAACUUGGCAUGUGCUGAAAACAGCAAGCAGUUGUUGGUGGCCCUGUGUAUGGCUCUGCUGGUGCUACUUCUUCCUCUAGUUUGCAUCAUUUACUCUUACU